CAGUCGCCACGGUAAUACGGAGGGAGCUAGCGUUGUUCGGAAUUACUGGGCGUAAAGCGCACGUAGGCGGCUCAGCAAGUCAGGGGUGAAAUCCCGGGGCUCAACCCCGGAACUGCCCUUGAAACUGCUAGGCUAGAAUCUUGGAGAGGCGAGUGGAAUUCCGAGUGUAGAGGUGAAAUUCGUAGAUAUUCGGAAGAACACCAGUGGCGAAGGCGACUCGCUGGACAAGUAUUGACGCUGAGGUGCGAAAGCGUGGGGAGCAAACAGGAUUAGAUACCCCGGUAGUCCCUGUCUCUUAUAC
rnacentral:rRNA from 1 species